UGCGCCCCUCGGCAUUCGACAUUCGACUUUCAACAUUCGGCACUCGACGAGGGACAGGAAACUGCAGCUCCAAGUGACCGCCACUGCAACUGCAUUUCGGACUCGAGAUUGGCCAGUUAUCUGCUGCCAGUCCUCCUCCUCCUGUUUCUCAGUCGCUCAGUGCAGCAGACAGCUACCCGUCAUUGUCCGGAGGCACGAGCUCGAUUAGUUGCUAGGGAAAGGUGUGCACUGCGAGAAAAUAGGCACUGGAAACAGAUACAAUCUAAACUACUCAAUCUCUUGAAGUAAAGAGCUCUGAGUUCAGUAACUGCGUAGCUCAUGGAAUAGUAAGAUUAUAAAUGUUUAAUUAAAGGGAAUUAACCUUUUUCCCAGUGUACUGUUUGCCUUUGACCGGACGUUAAUUGGAUCACCCCAGCUGGACCCCAGUAGGACCUACUCCCGGUUCCAAUCUUGGCAGCUGUCUGCCGAACGUCGCCCGCUGGGCACACAUGUCCUGUGAUGUGUCCACCCAUGUGCUGAGUCCUCCUUUGAUUGCCUACUAAUCCUGGACAUCGAUGCUCGGGCGACAAUCGAAGUAAACAGCCAGACAAAUGGGCAAACAAAUGAGCCGGGGCGUGUGUCCUUAAACGAGCCAAAUUGGAUCAUAACUGCGAAAUGCUCAAAUGGUGAAAUGCUGAAAUGCUGAAAUCUGUGCAAACAGCGCUCUAAUUAAGUCCUGCGGAGAGGGUCCCCAUAAAAAGGACCUCGCUCCAAAUAGCCGACCAUUAAAGCCGGACAAUGGGGGCGCGUGUUUUCUGAAUUGCGUCACAAGAGCACUGACUUGGAUCGAGAAUAAAUCAUUUUGGGGGUAGUCUGCAUAAAACUCUGACGUCAGCUGGUUUCUGAAAUGUAGUGAAAUCACGACAUUCAAAUGAAUUAGAAACAAGCUAUUUACGGACUUUAUCGAAACACUUAUUUUCAAAAUGGAAAACUAAAAACUUCUAAGUCAGAUAAAACUUGGGGGGACCAGCGAAGGAGAAGGGCCUUGGGAACCUUCGGAUCGAUCCACUGUUACUAGGCUCCCGAUAAGCCAAGACCAGAAGUACCCAAAAGCGUGGAGGCGUUUCCCAUGUGUAUUUGACCUCCCCCCUUUUCAUGUUCAGAACCCAAGUCUCCGACAGAAACAGAAACCAAAACAACGCAAUAUCAGCAAUCUGGGCUUAUAAUGGGGGCGAAACUACCGAUCGAAGCCACUCACAGCCACCAGAAUCAACGGAACCAGAGCCACCAGCACCACACUCUCCAUUGAAAUAUAAUUGGUCCCAUGGGCACCUACUUAUCGCCA
ensembl:ncRNA lncRNA:CR44310 long non-coding RNA:CR44310